rnacentral:rRNA from 1 species
AGUGAACGCUGGCGGUAGGCCUAACACAUGCAAGUCGAACGGCAGCACGGUAAGAGCUUGCUCUUACGGGUGGCGAGUGGCGGACGGGUGAGGAAUACAUCGGAAUCUACUUUUUCGUGGGGGAUAACGUAGGGAAACUUACGCUAAUACCGCAUACGACCUACGGGUGAAAGCAGGGGAUCUUCGGACCUUGCGCGAUUGAAUGAGCCGAUGUCGGAUUAGCUAGUUGGCGGGGUAAAGGCCCACCAAGGCGACGAUCCGCAGCUGGUCUGAGAGGAUGAUCAGCCACACUGGAACUGAGACACGGUCCAGACUCCUACGGGAGGCAGCAGUGGGCAAUAUUGGACAAUGGGCGCAAGCCUGAUCCAGCCAUACCGCGUGGGUGAAGAAGGCCUUCGGGUUGUAAAGCCCUUUUGUUGGGAAAGAAAAGCAGCAGGUUAAUACCCCGCUGUUCUGACGGUACCCAAAGAAUAAGCACCGGCUAACUUCGUG